AAGAAACCAACAGGGAUUGCCUCAGUAACGGCGAGUGAAGCGGCAACAGCUCAAAUUUGAAAUCUGGCCUCUUUGGGGUCCGAGUUGUAAUUUGUAGAGGAUGUUUCGGGCACCGCUCCGGUUUAAAUUUCUUGGAACAGAAUGUCAAAGAGGGUGAGAACCCCGUCUUGACCGGUAGUAGGGCCCAUGUGAAACUCCUUCGACGAGUCGAGUUGUUUGGGAAUGCAGCUCAAAAUGGGUGGUAAAUUUCAUCUAAAGCUAAAUAUUGGCCAGAGACCGAUAGCGCACAAGUAGAGUGAUCGAAAGAUGAAAAGCACUUUGAAAAGAGAGUUAAACAGUACGUGAAAUUGUUGAAAGGGAAGCGCUUGCAACCAGACUUGAGCGCGGCGGUUCCCCCUUCCUUUUGGUUGGGUUACUCCGCCGUGUCCAGGCCAACAUCGGUUCUGGGGGUCGGUUAAAGGCUUGGGGAAUGUAUCUACCCUUCGGGCGUAGACUUAUAGCCCCAGGUGUCAUGCGACCUCCCGGGACCGAGGAACGCGCUUCGGCUCGGAUGUUGGCGUAAUGGUUGUCAGCGACCCGUCUUGAAACACGGACCAAGGAGUCUAACAUCUAUGCGAGUGUUUGGGUGUCAAACCCGGAACGCGAAAUGAAAGUGAACGGAGGUAGGAAGCUUCGGCUGCACUAUCGACCGAUCCUGAUGUCUUCGGAUGGAUUUGAGUAAGAGCAUAGCUGUUGGGACCCGAAAGAUGGUGAACUAUGCCUGAAUAGGGUGAAGCCAGAGGAAACUCUGGUGGAGGCUCGCAGCGGUUCUGACGUGCAAAUCGAUCGUCAAAUUUGGGUAUAGGGGCGAAAGACUAAUCGAACCAUCUG
rnacentral:rRNA from 1 species